rnacentral:rRNA from 1 species
AGAAUCUGGCUUCAGGUUCGGGACAACAGUUGGAAACGGCUGCUAAUACCGGAUGUGCCUUACGGUGAAAGAUUUAUCACCUGAAGAUGAGCUCGCGUCUGAUUAGCUAGUUGGUGUGGUAAGAGCGCACCAAGGCGACGAUCAGUAGCUGGUCUGAGAGGAUGAUCAGCCACACUGGGACUGAGACACGGCCCAGACUCCUACGGGAGGCAGCAGUGGGGAAUUUUCCGCAAUGGGCGAAAGCCUGACGGAGCAAUACCGCGUGAGGGAGGAAGGCUCUUGGGUUGUAAACCUCUUUUCUCAGGGAAGAAAAAUGACGGUACCUGAGGAAUAAGCAUCGGCUAACUCCGUGCCAGCAGCCGCGGUAAUACGGAGGAUGCAAGCGUUAUCCGGAAUGAUUGGGCGUAAAGCGUCCGCAGGUGGCAAUGUAAGUCUGCUGUCAAAGCGUCUGGCUCAACCAGAUAAAGGCAGUGGAAACUACAUAGCUAGAGUAAGGUAGGGGUAGAGGGAAUUCCUGGUGUAGCGGUGAAAUGCGUAGAGAUCAGGAAGAACACCGGUGGCGAAGGCGCUCUGCUGGACCUUAACUGACACUGAGGGACGAAAGCUAGGGGAGCGAAUGGGAUUAGAUACCCCAGUAGUCCUAGCCGUAAACGAUGGAUACUAGGCGUUGCCCGUAUCGACCCG